GAUGAACGCUGGCGGCGUGCCUAAUACAUGCAAGUCGAGCGAACAGACGAGGAGCUUGCUCCUCUGACGUUAGCGGCGGACGGGUGAGUAACACGUGGAUAACCUACCUAUAAGACUGGGAUAACUUCGGGAAACCGGAGCUAAUACCGGAUAAUAUAUUGAACCGCAUGGUUCAAUAGUGAAAGACGGUUUUGCUGUCACUUAUAGAUGGAUCCGCGCCGCAUUAGCUAGUUGGUAAGGUAACGGCUUUCCAAGGCGACGAUGCGUAGCCGACCUGAGAGGGUGAUCGGCCUCACUGGAACUGAGACACGGUCCAGACUCCUACGGGAGGCAGCAGUAGGGAAUCUUCCGCAAUGGGCGAAAGCCUGACGGAGCAACGCCGCGUGAGUGAUGAAGGUCUUCGGAUCGUAAAACUCUGUUAUUAGGGAAGAACAAAUGUGUAAGUAACUAUGCACGUCUUGACGGUACCUAAUCAGAAAGCCACGGCUAACUACGUG
rnacentral:rRNA from 1 species